UGAACUGGUCGCCAGCCAAUUGCAGGGCACAUAUAAACACAGAUAACAAGCAACCCUUUAUUGCUCAUUGACUGUUUUUCUCAAUGUCUUUAUGUCUCAAAAGUGUUCUCUGUCAAUUGACUGUCUGUUGUCGUACUAGAGCGGCUCCAACUACCGGAGACAAAUUCCUUGUGUGUUUUUUGGAUGUACUUGGGAAAUAAAGAUGAUUCUGAUUCUGAACAACCAUUCACACCUACAGACAAUUUAGAGUCUUCAAUCAACCUACCAUGCAAGUUUUUGGCAUGUGGGAGGAAACCGGAGUACCCGGAGAAAACCCACCCAGGCACGGGGAGAACAUGCAAACUCCACACAGUUGACGUUGGACGAGAGACAGGGUACACCCUGCACUGGUCGCCAACCAGUACAACCAGUAUGAGGAAGCUGGAGCAUCCGUAGAAAACCUACACAAGCACGGGGAAAACAUGAAGACUUCAUACCGACCUGGAUCACUUGCUGUGAUUGAUGGACCCAUGAAUUCUGCUCUUCACCAGAAAAUCCUUAAGGACAAUCUUCAGCCAUCAGGUCAUGACCUCAAACUAUACCACACUUGGUUUCUGCAGCAGGACAACCAUCCAAAAUUCACCAGCAAGUCAGCUUCUGAAUGGCUUAAAAAAUAAAUGAAGGUUUUGGAGUGGCCUAGUCAAAGUCAGCACUUGAAUCCCAUUGAAAUGCUGUGGCAGCCUACAAAGGCUGUUCAUGCUCGAAAACCCUCCACUGUUGCUGAAUUAAAACAAUUCUGCAAGGAAGAGUGUGCCACAAUAUCUCUACAGAGCUGUGAAAGACUGAUUGCCAGGUAUGGAAAAUGCUUGAUUUCACUUGUUGCUGCUUCGAGGUCAAUUACUUUUUCACACAGGGUCAGGUAUAUGAAUAGUUCCCCCCCCCCCUCCCCCUCCCCCCCCGUGCCCCCCGUCCCCACAUGUAAAAACUGCAUUCUAUGUUUACUUGUUUUAUCAUUGUCUGAUAUUUACGAUUGUUUGAUUAACUGAAAUAUUAAAGUGGGAGAACUGCCAAAAAAUAAAUAAAUAAGAAUUUGACAUGGGGCAAUACUUUUUCACGGCACUGUAGAACACAUCCAAGUUUUAAUCACUUUGAAAUUUCUCUAUGGAAAAAGUACACACUUUACAAUUCUCUGACAAUAUUUCCUGAAUUUAUAGUUGACAAAGCCCCCUCAUAAAUUUCUAGGUGACUAAGAUAUUUUUUCAAAUCCAUAUGAUAAUCUGUGUAUGUUAUGCUUUGUUAUGAAUUUUAAAAACUUAUUGAGUGGUUACUAAUUCUCCACUCUCCACUUUUUUUUUUUCAAUGCAUGUUUGAGUGCCAAAUUAAACCACACCACCAACACCUGACUGCGAUCUGCAAACCCUGUUUGGCUCUUGGAAAUUAUUUUGCAAACGUGGGUUUCUAUAAUUAUUAUAAGUCAUGAUAAUGUAUAAUCAUAUAAUCAGAAUUAAACACAACUAGGAGUAACUUUCACGACCAAAACUGAGACUAACGGUAGCAAAACCUCGGUAUAGUAUUAAUUAGCAUAGAGCAUAGCAUAGAUAGCAUAGAUAUUUACCUUCCAGGAUUCUCUCUUGGCGGUUUCACCGGAGCCUGGAAUAAGUCGUCCAUAACGUUUCAACCUCCACGUCACAC